GGAGAGGUGGCAGAGUGGUCGAAUGCGCGCGCUUGGAAAGCGCGUAUACCGCAAGGUAUCGGGGGUUCGAAUCCCCCCCUCUCCG
rnacentral:tRNA from 1 species